rnacentral:rRNA from 1 species
GUUAGGAAUAUUGGACAAUGGGCGAAAGCCUGAUCCAGCCAUGCCGCGUGAACGAUGAAGGCCUUCGGGUUGUAAAGUUCUUUAGCCGAUGAUUAUAAUGACUGUAGUCGGAAAAUAAGCCCCGGCUAACUUCGUGCCAGCAGCCGCGGUAAUACGAAGGGGGCGAGCGUUAUUCGGAAUCACUGGGCGUAAAGCGUGCGUAGGCGGCUUUGCAAGUUGGGAGUGAAAGCCCAGGGCUCAACCCUGGAAUUGCUCUCAAAACUGCAAGGCUCGAAUUCGGGAGAGGAUAGCGGAAUUGUCAGUGUAGCAGUGAAAUGCGUAGAUAUUGACAGGAACACCAGUGGCGUAAGCGGCUAUCUGGACCGAUAUUGACGCUGAGGCACGAAAGCGUGGGGAUCAAACAGGAUUAGAUACCCCAGUAGUCC